rnacentral:rRNA from 1 species
GACGAACGCUGGCGGCGUGCUUAACACAUGCAAGUCGAACGGAAAGGCCCUGCUUGCAGGGUACUCGAGUGGCGAACGGGUGAGUAACACGUGGGUGAUCUGCCCUGCACUCCGGGAUAAGCCUGGGAAACUGGGUCUAAUACCGGAUAGGAGCCAUUUUUAGUGUGAUGGUUGGAAAGUUUUUUCGGUGUAGGAUGAGCUCGCGGCCUAUCAGCUUGUUGGUGGGGUAAUGGCCUACCAAGGCGGCGACGGGUAGCCGGCCUGAGAGGGUGGACGGCCACAUUGGGACUGAGAUACGGCCCAGACUCCUACGGGAGGCAGCAGUGGGGAAUAUUGCACAAUGGGCGCAAGCCUGAUGCAGCGACGCCGCGUGGGGGAUGACGGCCUUCGGGUUGUAAACUCCUUUCGCUAGGGACGAAGCUUUUUGUGACGGUACCUAGUUAAGAAGCACCGGCUAACUACGUG